GGAAUAUUGGUCAAUGGAGGCAACUCUGAACCAGCCAAGUAGCGUGCAGGACGACGGCCCUAUGGGUUGUAAACUGCUUUUGUGCGGGGAUAACGGGGGGUAUGCAUACCCUUUUGCAGGUACCGCACGAAUAAGGACCGGCUAAUUCCGUGCCAGCAGCCGCGGUAAUACGGAAGGUCCGGACGUUAUCCGGAUUUAUUGGGUUUAAAGGGAGCGCAGGCUGCCGAUUAAGCGUGACGUGAAAUGCCGCGGCUCAACCGUGGAAGUGCGUCGCGAACUGGUUGGCUUGAGUGCAGUCGACGCCGGCGGAAUUCGUGGUGUAGCGGUGAAAUGCUUAGAUAUCACGAAGAACCCCGAUUGCGAAGGCAGCUGGCGAGAGUGUAACUGACGCUAAAGCUCGAAGGUGCGGGUAUCGAACA
rnacentral:rRNA from 1 species